UACGUAGGGUGCAAGCGUUAAUCGGAAUUACUGGGCGUAAAGCGUGCGCAGGCGGUUAUGUAAGACAGGGGUGAAAUCCCAGGGCUUAACCUUGGAAAUGCAUUUGUGACUGCAUAGCUAGAGUACGGUAGAGGGGGAUGGAAUUCCGCGUGUAGCAGUGAAAUGCGUAGAUAUGCGGAGGAACACCGAUGGCGAAGGCAAUCCCCUGGACCUGUACUGACGCUCAUGCACGAAAGCGUGGGGAGCAAACAGG
rnacentral:rRNA from 1 species